rnacentral:rRNA from 1 species
AGCUAUGUGUGGCAGGGAUAAACGCUGAAAGCAUCUAAGCGUGAAGCCCCCCUCAAGAUGAGAUUUCCCAUUUCUUCGGAAAGUAAGAUCCCUGAAAGAUGAUCAGGUAGAUAGGUUUGGAGUGGAAGUGUAGCGAUACAUGGAGCGGACAAAUACUAAUCGAUCGAGGACUUAACCAA